GGGCCUGUAGCUCAAUCGGUAGAGCAGGGGACUCAUAAUCCCUAGGUUGCAGGUUCGAGUCCUGCCAGGCCCA
rnacentral:tRNA from 1 species